rnacentral:tRNA from 1 species
GCCUGAGUGGCCCAGUCAGUUAAGCAUCUGACUUCAGCUCAGGUCAUGAUCUCAUUGCUCGUGAGUUCGAGCCCCACGUCAGGCU